GGGCGGAUGAUGUAACCAAAUUCUGACCUGAGCAACGCCGCGUGUAGUGAUGAAGGUUUUCGUAUCGUAAAGCUCUGUUGUUAGGGAAGAACAAGUACCGUUCGAAUAGGGCGGUACCUUGACGGUACCUAACCAGAAAGCCACGGCUAACUACGUGCCAGCAGCCGCGGUAAUACGUAGGUGGUAAGCGUUGUCCGGAAUUAUUGGGUGUAAAGGGUUCGCAUAAGGUUUCUUAAGUCUGA
rnacentral:rRNA from 1 species